UACGUAGGGUGCAAGCGUUAAUCGGAAUUACUGGGCGUAAAGCGUGCGCAGGCGGUUUUGUAAGCCAGAUGUGAAAUCCCCGGGCUCAACCUGGGAAUUGCGAUGGAGACUGCAAGGCUAGAAUCUGGCAGAGGGGGGUAGAAUUCCACGUGUAGCAGUGAAAUGCGUAGAGAUGUGGAGGAACACCGAUGGCGAAGGCAGCCCCCUGGGUCAAGAUUGACGCUCAUGCACGAAAGCGUGGGGAGCAAACAGG
rnacentral:rRNA from 1 species